AGCAUUUAAACCAUUUCGUAGCCCAACUUAAAUCUUCUCUUGACUCACAACGCAGCAGGAACUCAUCUCAGCGAGACAGUGAAACAAACCCUAAUUUUUCAAGAUGGGGCGUAUGCAUUCUAGAGGAAAGGGUAUCUCCGCAUCUGCGUUGCCGUACAAGCGCUCACCUCCGACAUGGCUCAAGACCACAGCCCUCGAUGAAAGAAAAAUCCUAAGACUUUUGAUUCUUUGUUGAGACAUUAGCUUCGAUUGUUGUCGUUUGGUUUCUUAGUUGAUUCACUUAGCUUACUCUUUAGUAUUAGGACAAGAGCUUUGGUUUUGUUCGACUGUCUGAAAAUUAUUUUGUUAGAUCUGAUCAUUUAAUGGGGUUAAUAUUAUUAACUAGGUUGAUGAGUCAAUCUGCAAGUUUGCGAAGAAGGGUUUGACACCGUCUCAGAUUGGUGUGAUUAUUCGUGACUCUCAUGGUAUCCCUCAGGUGAAGAGUGUUACCGGAAACAAGAUCUUGCGUAUUCUCAAAGCUCACGGUCUUGCACCUGAGAUUCCUGAGGAUCUGUACCAUUUGAUCAAGAAGGCAGUUGCUAUCCGCAAGCACUUGGAGAGGAACAGGAAGUAAGUUCGAAGUACCAAGAGAUUGUUAAUAUUCGCUUAGGUGAUGGAUCUAUGAGACGUGGUCAGGUAUGUGAGGUUGAUGGAUGGCGAGAAAACUGAUGUCCAGGCUUUUGAAUUAACAUCUGAAAUUAGCACCGUUCAGUUCACUAAGUUAUUGUUGGGUAAGCAAAGGGAAUCGAAAACACUUUUAGCGGUGAAAGCCAGAAUAUUCAACGAAUCAUGGUAAACCUAAGCAUAGAGAGGCACACCACUUACGUCCUUGCCACCAACUUCGAUGAGAACUGACGAGCCUAAUGUCAUUGUUGGUUAGUGGCCGGCUCUUCGUAAAUGAUACUUAAGGAACUUAUUUAUUCUGACAAACAGUGUCUUGCUAGCCAUAUAUUCCUCGAUGCGUUAGCAUAUAUACAACUCCCGUUUCAACUCUCAAGAUAACUCAACUCUCAAGUUAACGUAUCUGAGUUUUCAGUCUUAGCCCACUUAACAUUAUGCAGGGAAUGUGUUAAGGACAUCGGUUCUUCCUCAGCCUCAACCAAUUAUGGAGGUGUCCAGAAACUCGAAUACGUCACAGAUGCGGAGUUUAAUGCAUAUGUUCUGAGGCACAGGUCUGGAACACAACAUGUACGGCUGUACCCUCUUAAACAGGUCUAACAUGUAACUUAGACGAAUUAGCUUUGUACAAAAACCCAAAACAUACAAUGUAACUGUUAAAAGUGAAUGAUUUUGUUGGAACGUUUUAGCCCAUGUGAUCGUAAUA